GACGAACGCUGGCGGCGUGCUUAACACAUGCAAGUCGAACGGAAAGGCCCUGCUUGCAGGGUGCUCGAGUGGCGAACGGGUGCGUAACACGUGGGUGAUCUGCCCCUUACUUUGGGAUAAGCCUGGGAAACUGGGUCUAAUACUGGAUAGGACCAUGCUGUAGGUGGUGUGGUGGAAAGAUUAGUUUCGGUAAGGGAUGAGCUCGCGGCCUAUCAGCUUGUUGGUGGGGUAAUGGCCUACCAAGGCGUCGACGGGUAGCCGGCCUGAGAGGGUGGACGGCCACAUUGGGACUGAGAUACGGCCCAGACUCCUACGGGAGGCAGCAGUGGGGAAUAUUGCACAAUGGGCGCAAGCCUGAUGCAGCGACGCCGCGUGGGGGAUGACGGCCUUCGGGUUGUAAACUCCUUUCAGCCAUGACGAAGCCCUUGUGGUGACGGUAGUGGUAGAAGAAGCACCGGCUAACUACGUG
rnacentral:rRNA from 1 species